UUAAUACAUGCAUGUUGAACGGAAUAUUUUAGUUCGCUAAAAUAUUUAGUAGCAAAUGGGUGAGUAACACGUACCUAACCUACCUUUUGGACUGGGAUAACCAUUGGAAACAGUGGCUAAUACCGGAUAUGAUAAAAAUUUGCAUGAAUUUUUAUUCAAAGGAGCCUUCAAGCUUCACCAAGAAAUGGGGGUGCGCAACAUUAGUUAGUUGGUAGGGUAAAAGCCUACCAAGACGAUGAUGUUUAGCGGGGCCAAGAGGUUGUACCGCCACACUGGGAUUGAGAUACGGCCCAGACUCCUACGGGAGGCAGCAGUAAGGAAUAUUCCACAAUAAGCGAAAGCUUGAUGGAGCGACACAGCGUGCAGGAUGAAGUCUUUCGGGAUGUAAACUGCUGUUGUAAGGGAAGAAAAAACUAGAUAGGAAAUGCUCUAGUCUUGACGGUACCUUAUUAGAAAGCGACGGCAAACUAUGUGCCAGCAGCCGCGGUAAUACAUAGGUCGCAAGCGUUAUCCGGAAUUAUUGGGCGUAAAGCGUCCGUAGGUUUUUUGUUAAGUUUAAAGUUAAAUGCUAAAGCUCAACUUUAGUCCGCUUUAGAUACUGGCAAAAUAGAAUUAUGAAGAGGUUAGCGGAAUUCCUAGUGGAGUGGUGGAAUACGUAGAUAUUAGGAAGAACACCAAUAGGCGAAGGCAGCUAACUGGUCAUAUAUUGACACUAAGGGACGAAAGCGUGGGGAGCAAACAGGAUUAGAUACCCUGGUAGUCCACGCCGUAAACGAUGAUCAUUAGUUGGUGGCAAAAGUCACUAACACAGCUAACGCGUUAAAUGAUCCGCCUGAGUAGUAUGCUCGCAAGAGUGAAACUUAAAGGAAUUGACGGGAACCCGCACAAGCGGUGGAGCAUGUGGUUUAAUUUGAAGAUACGCGUAGAACCUUACCCACUCUUGACAUUCUCGCAAAACUAUAGAGAUAUAGCCGAGGCUAACGAGAUCACAGAUGGUGCAUGGUUGUCGUCAGCUCGUGUCGUGAGAUGUUAGGUUAAGUCCUGCAACGAGCGCAACCCUUUUCUUUAGUUGCUAACAUUUAGUUGAGAACCCUAAAGAUACUGCCGGCGCAAGCCGGAGGAAGGUGGGGACGACGUCAAAUCAUCAUGCCUCUUACGAGUGGGGCAACACACGUGCUACAAUGGCUACUACAAAGAGCAGCAAAACAGUGAUGUCAAGCUAAUCUCAAAAAAGUAGUCUCAGUUCGGAUUGAAGUCUGCAACUCGACUUCAUGAAGUCGGAAUCGCUAGUAAUCGCAGGUCAGCUAUACUGCGGUGAAUACGUUCUCGGGUUUUGUACACACCGCCCGUCACACCAUGGGAGUUGGUAAUGCCCAAAGUCGGUGAGUUAACUUCGGAGACCAUUGCCUAAGGCAGGACCGAUGACUGGGGUGAAGUCGUAACAAGGUAUCCCUACGAG
rnacentral:rRNA from 2 species